rnacentral:tRNA from 1 species
GCAUGGGUGCCAGAUGUGUUUAUGGGUUAGUUUUAGGAGUUAAUUAAGGGAUUUCCCCCCGUGUA